rnacentral:rRNA from 1 species
UGGGGAAUAUUGCACAAUGGAGGGAACUCUGAUGCAGCGACGCCGCGUGAACGAAGAAGGCUUUCGAGUCGUAAAGUUCUUUUAUAUGGGAAGAUAAUGACGGUACCAUAAGAAAAAGCCCCGGCUAAAUACGUCACAGCACCCGCGGUAAUACGUAGGGGGCUAGCGUUGUCCGGAAACACGGGGCGUAAAGGGUUCGCAGGCGGAAAUGCAAGUCAGGUGUAAAAGGCAGUAGCUUAACUACUGUAAGCAUUUGAAACUGCAUAUCUUGAGAAGAGUAGAGGUAAGUGGAAUUUUUAGUGUAGCGGUGAAAUGCGUAGAUAUUAAAAAGAAUACCGGUGGCGAAGGCGACUUACUGGGCUCAUUCUGACGCUGAGGAACGAAAGCGUGGGUAGCAAACAGG